rnacentral:rRNA from 1 species
CAGCCGCCGAGGUAAUACGUAGGUGGCAAGCGUUGUCCGGAAUUAUUGGGCGUAAAGGGCUCGCAGGCGGUUUCUUAAGUCUGAUGUGAAAGCCCCCGGCUCAACCGGGGAGGGUCAUUGGAAACUGGGAAACUUGAGUGCAGAAGAGGAGAGUGGAAUUCCACGUGUAGCGGUGAAAUGCGUAGAGAUGUGGAGGAACACCAGUGGCGAAGGCGACUCUCUGGUCUGUAACUGACGCUGAGGAGCGAAAGCGUGGGGAGCGAACAGGAUUAGAUACCCGUGUAGUCCCUGUCUCUUAUAC